ACUGGGACUGAGACACGGCCCACACUCCUACGGGAGGCAGCAGUGGGGAAUUUUCCGCAAUGGGCGCAAGCCUGACGGAACAAUACCGCGUGAGGGAGGAAGGCCUUUGGGUUGUAAACCUCUUUUCUUAAGGAAGAAGAUCUGACGGUACUUAAGGAAUCAGCAUCGGCUAACUCCGUGCCAGCAGCCGCGGUAAUACGGAGGAUGCAAGCGUUAUCCGGAAUUAUUGGGCGUACAGCGUCCGCAGGCGGCAUUAUCUGUCUGCUGUCAAAGACCGCAGCUCAACUGCGGAAAGGCAGUGGAAACUGUAAAGCUAGAGUACGGUAGGGGUAGAGGGAAUUCCCAGUGUAGCGGUGAAAUGCGUAGAUAUUGGGAAGAACACCAGUGGCCAAUGCGCUCUACUGGGCCGUAACUGACGCUCACGGACGAAAGCUAGGGGAGCGAAAGGCAUUAGAUACCCCUGUAGUCCUAGCUGUAAACGAUGGAUACUAGGCGUACCUCGUAUCGACCCGACCUGUGCCGAAGCUUACGCGUUAAGUAUCCCGCCUGGGGAGUACGCAUGCAAGUGUGAAACU
rnacentral:rRNA from 1 species